rnacentral:miRNA from 1 species
GCAGACACAUUCCAGCUAAUCAGCAGCAGACCCUCCCUCCCAGACCCUCCCACCUCCUGGACAGCAUCCAUUUUGAAGCUGCAUUCUUAGUGAGCUGUCCAGGAGGUGGGAGGGUCUGGGAGGGAGGGUCUGCUGCUGAUUGGCUGGAAUGUGUCUG